AACAGAGGUUUGGGGCCACGCGGCGGCACCAGUCCGCUCCUCUCAAACCGCGAAACACGUCCCGGCGCCCUCGAGGACGAGAAUCGCGAGUGGCCAGCUCUCUCUUUCUGUCCCUCUCCCUCUCUGACUCUAUGCUCCUCCAUUGAUUCUUUUACAUUUUUUUUCUUACUACAAUUAACCGUGAAAGUAUACCUGUGAAGAGUAAUUCUCGAAGGAGUUCCUGUAUCGCGUGUUCAUCCGUAUCUCCGGGGGACAAACGUUCGCGACGCAUCGUUCAACGAACCGGUCGCAAAGAGGAUAGGAAAACGCACGAGACGCUGAACAAGGAAAAUAUCGAGGGAGAAGCACGAAACUGUUUCGAACGUGGAGGCAUCGAUUGGCUACGAUCGAUAUCACGGAAGAGAAAGAAGCUUCGUUCUCUUCGUGGUGAAGCUCUUUCCGCUUGUCUCUCCAAGGAACGAUCCCCUACGGGACUUAUACGGGUUUAUACAUGGUGUAUUUAAUCGCCGAAUCAAGACGCUGAUUCAGUUUCUCGUUUAUCGCGUUAUUCUGGUGAAUGAUCGACCAUGGGAGAAGAGUAAACCAGAACACGGAUGUAUGCAGUCGGUUUCACGUGUUAAUUAAGGAUCAUCCAUUUACGGUGACUGCAGUGUUAGCGUUUUCUCUGUGCUAAGUAAACUGUUCCAAAUUGAACGUAUCCACGGAUGGGAGGACCGAUUAGCCCGGACUGAAUUAUUUUCGGGUUUAAUUGUGAGUCUCUUAAUUGGACCCUAAGGAACGAUAAAUCCGUGUGGCAGAAGUAACGGCUGCAGGCUACCACACGGAAGGCUCUGUACUCUCAGCGAAGCUGUAAACGCGUGCGUGGGAUUCUGACGUCAGAUCCUCUGAAGGAUGCGACGACUCGUUAAAGCCGUCUAGUCGAAGCGACGAAACCUUCCACGUCGCAAUCGUUCGAAUCCCAACAACUACGAUCGUAUUCCUGAAACGAACUAAGGAAACACAGAUAAUCAACGCAAAGAAAUUCGCGAAGAAGACAGUUGAAGGAAGAUAGACAUCGUAGAUAUCUGUGUAUACAUCAACGGAUCUCUUGUUAGAUUUAAAAAAUGAGAGAUAAGACGAAAAUCGAGAGAAGGAAACACGGUGUCAACGGAUCGACGACCAGAUAGGAUCGGAUCUCUGAUUGAAAGAGCGCGCAAAGCUGGCUGCGCGUGCCACGAAAAAUGAACGAAAGCGCGGUCUACCUGCUCGGAUCGGAAGAAGAGGCAAACGUAUCGAGUAAUCAAUUGAAUCGAAGUUUUUACAACGCGAGUUUUCCGCCCCAGAACCGUACCUACGAAGAUCUUUGGAACCUUGCCACCGACAGGGCCGGUCUAGCGAUACUGCUGUUCCUGUUCUCGGUCGCUACCGUGUUCGGUAACACGCUGGUUAUCCUGGCGGUGGUGAGGGAGAGGUAUCUCCACACGGCAACCAAUUAUUUCGUCACGUCAUUGGCGUUUGCGGACUGUUUGGUCGGACUAGUGGUGAUGCCGUUCAGCGCGAUUUACGAGGUGCUGGAGAACCGUUGGCUGUUUACCACGGACUGGUGCGACGUCUGGCGUUCGCUGGACGUCCUCUUCUCGACCGCGUCGAUCUUAAAUCUCUGCGUUAUCAGCUUGGAUCGUUACUGGGCGAUCACCGAUCCGUUCACCUAUCCGAGCAAAAUGAGCAGGAAACGUGCCGCCAUCCUGAUAGCUAUCGUGUGGAUCUGCUCGAGCGCGAUCUCCUUUCCAGCCAUCGCGUGGUGGAGGGCUGUCCGCACGGAGGAAGUGCCAGAGGACAAGUGUCCGUUCACCGAGCACCUGGGUUAUCUGAUCUUCUCGUCGACCAUCAGUUUCUACUUACCCCUGUUCGUGAUGGUGUUCACCUAUUACAAGAUCUACCGGGCUGCCGUGUUCCAGACCAAGAGCCUCAAGCUCGGCACCAAACAAGUUAUAAUGGCCUCAGGUGAAUUGGAGCUCACUCUGAGGAUACAUCGAGGAGGCGGGACAAAUACCGACGCCAGGCACCUGUUUCGCACCGCUUCGAGCACGCCCGAAGAUCUUCAGGAUCUCGAAGAGCCUCUGACAACCAUGCACAACAACUGUUUAACCAGAGUACCCUCGACAAGGAUCAAUAAGCAGCAUCGGGGAAACAAUUUCUCUUUGUCACGCAAGCUGGCCAAAUUCGCCAAGGAAAAAAAGGCAGCCAAGACUUUAGGCAUCGUAAUGGGUGUCUUCAUCAUCUGUUGGCUGCCGUUUUUCGUCGUCAAUCUUUGGUCAGGCUUUUGCUCGCAGUGCAUAUGGCAAGAGAAAAUCGUAUUCGCCGCAGUCACAUGGUUGGGUUGGAUCAACAGCGGUAUGAAUCCGGUGAUAUACGCUUGCUGGAGCAGAGACUUUCGAAGAGCAUUCGUGAGGAUCCUGUGUGCCUGCUGUCCGGGGCGAGUAAGGCGGCGAUAUCAGCCGGCAUUCAGAUGUAAACCAAGUCAAAGAUUCGCAUCGGGAAGGUACUACUCCGCUUAUUCGCUCCACCACGUUCGAAGCAGCCGAGAGAGUUCGUGCGAGCAAACCUACAUUUAACGACGGGAUAUCGCCGCGGUGUGGAUUGUCGUCAAUUGUUGGACACCUCCUCGAAACCUUUCUAGCUUCCUCCUUGUCCUUCCAUUCGUUACCAUCGAAGCAUCGUCCUCCCCGAGACAAAUCCUAACCCAGUAAUCGCCCGGAGACACUUGGUACAGAGAUUAUCGACGAAGGACUCUGUCACCAUCCCAUAUAACAUAGUCUCGUACGUUUCCGGAGCAAAUACCAGCGGGGAGGCGAGCCGCGUCAGCUACAGUAGCGUUAGUCAAAGCAGCGAUGGUGGUGCUGGAACUAUAUUACCCAGCGGCGGGAUGUGACGACACACGGGGGCCCGGUCAGGGCCUCGACGAGAACGCGCUAUCCGUUUCCGAGACACGUGAUUGUAGGUUCGCUUAUGGAUAGAUUUUUUCAUCAUUUUGUCUCGGAAGUACUCGUUUCAAAAGUAGAAUCAAGCCAAGAGACGAGGAAAACCAAGACGACCGUUCACCGGCCCCCGUGUGUGCUUCCGAUAGGACAAACCAUGGAUCUCGUCGUGGAUACGGAUAUAAGGAUAAGCAACGUGUUUCCGUUCCUCCUUAUCGUCGAGCUUCAUCGGUGACGAAAAGUGGACCACGAAGAAGCGUGACGCCCGACCCGCAACAAUUUCCUGUAUAGAAAAAGCAACAGUAAUCUCGUGUUUUGUACCUCCGGCGAAAGAUCUGGUGAAAAUUGAAUUGCGGGGAAGGACAAUACCCUAUAUCGAGUCAGAUGGCUCGUUACCGUUCUUACGUUCGGAUACCUCCGAUACUUUGUAGCCUUUUAACGAACCUCCGUACACGGAAUCGUAAAUCGAGCAGCGGCGAUGCGCUAUUGAUUACACGGCGAGUUUAGCGUAUCUUUCCUCGAUUCCUCGAUUCCUCCAUCUCAAUGCACCAAGCAAAUCGUAUACCGUUUUAUUUCGAUACAAUUAAAUCCGUUAUCGUUCCCUGGAGACCGUGAGCCGAAUUUCGAGGAAGAAAAUACACGAUAAUACACUUUGUUCCUGUGUGCGUUGCGCGUUUAGAAGACUGACGAUUGAACGUUUGGAAACGUUUAACGUAAUAUGAGAUUGAUAUACUUUGAAUUUCCAGGGAUCGGCGAUCUCUCGUGUCGGUGCAUUGACAGGCGACUGUAUGAACGAAAAGUAUGCACAAAGUUAAAAUAACGAGGAACGAAUAUUACCGCUCGAAGCUGCCUGUCGAUCAACAAAGAGAAAACAAAGGGAACACGUGAAAAAAACAGAAUACUUGCGAAAAAUUAACAGCGUUCCCUCGGAAAAAAUUGUAUUUUCCAGCGAAAAUUCAAUAUGCGCGUACCUACUGUACCGCUCUUCCAGUUACGUUGAUCGCUAAAUACACAUACUCGAAUGGAUUCGGUGUGGUAACCACUGUCUAGAUUGAACGAAAGUUAAUUUAAAGUUUCCUCGACCGACACAAGACUGGCAAAAUCGAAAAGUAUUUUCCUCGAAUUGACGAACAAGAUUCUGCGAAACUAAACUGAUACCAAGGCCAAUGUAACUUAAUCGAUAAAUAAAAUAACAAAGUUAUAGUGUGGUUAAUGUUUUAAAAAAGCACGAUUUCAAAUUCACAAACGUAAAAGUAAAAAUAAAUCUGUUAAAUAACUUGAUUCAGUUGGAGAUUAAUCGAUCGAAUUAAGCUCUGUAUACAUAUUGUUAAUUUAAAUACUCCGAAGUAGUUUACACCAUUCGUAAAACCUAUUCAACGUAAUACAUCGUAUCGGACAAUCUUUAUUCGAUAGAUAGAUACCUCUACUUUCACUGGCGAAUAUUUUUCCAGAGCGAUUAUUUAUUUUACAAGGAUUAUCUUAACAUAGGCAUUUGUUGUUGUACAUAAAACGAUUAUCGUGCAAUUGUAAAUAUUAGAACAUUGUGAAAUCAACUUAUGUGAAACGUAUAUAAUAUAUGAGAAACUGUAACAAUGCGUGUAUCGGUAGGAAUAUAUACAAACGUUUUCUCGGAUAAAAAAUAUAUUCAAUAUUAAUUCAAUAAUCCUAUCUCACUAAAGAAAAAAAAAAAAAAAACUACGAAGAAAAUCAGAUCGAACAUUCGCUAUUCACGAAAAGUUAUGUCAUCUGCUUGUUUUAGCUGUGACAUAUUAACUCUUUGCAUGUAAAACUAAAAAUCUCAAUAUUGUACGAUACAAUAGAAGAAAGAAAAGAUUAAAAAAGUAUUAAUAUUAAAAUAAACAAAUGUUUUACCUCGGAUUUCAAACCAACGAAAACUAGUCUAGUCUUGUACCAUCCAAUAGUGAUUAUGCUGUUUUCUUGUAAAUCCAUUAAGUUCCGUUUUCGAAGCAACAUUUUAUAUUAUACUUAUUUUCAUUUAUAAACUAUCAAAAUCACGGUAUAAGAACAUCUGCUAACAUAAUCCCUUUCGUUCUAGAAAAUUCGUUCGCACGAAGAAAAUAGCGCGUAAUUGGUUGGCGUCUUAACAAGUCUAGUCAUUGUACGUACUGUACUGUAAGUUCGUUGAAGCUCGAAGAUUCAAUAAUAAAAAAAAAAAAAAAAAAAAA